rnacentral:rRNA from 1 species
UGGGGGAUAUUGCACAAUGGGGGAAACCCUGAUGCAGCAACGCCGCGUGAAGGAAGAAGGUCUUCGGAUUGUAAACUUCUGUCCUCAGGGAAGAUAAUGACGGUACCUGAGGAGGAAGCUCCGGCUAACUACGUGCC